rnacentral:rRNA from 1 species
GAUGAACGCUAGCUACAGGCUUAACACAUGCAAGUCGCGGGGCAGCAUGGGGGUUGCUUGCAAUCCCCGAUGGCGACCGGCGCACGGGUGAGUAACGCGUAUCCAACCUGCCCUUCACCACGGGAUAACCCGGCGAAAGUCGGACUAAUACCGUAUGUUGUCCAUUGACGGCAUCCGAUUUGGACGAAAGGCUUGGCGGUGAGGGAUGGGGAUGCGUCCGAUUAGCCAGACGGCGGGGUAACGGCCCACCGUGGCUACGAUCGGUAGGGGUUCUGAGAGGAAGGUCCCCCACAAUGGAACUGAGACACGGUCCAGACUGCUACGGGAGGCAGCAGUGAGGAAUAUUGGUCGAUGGGCGUAAGCCUGAACCAGCCAAGUAGCGGGCAGGAUGACGGGCCUAUGGGUUGUAAUCUGCUUUUAUGCGGGGAUAAAGUGGCCAACGUGUGGGCUUUUGCAGGUACCGCAUGAAUAAGGACCGGCUAAUUCCGUG